rnacentral:rRNA from 1 species
GAUGAACGCUGGCGGCGUGCCUAAUACAUGCAAGUCGAGCGAACGGACGAGAAGCUUGCUUCUCUGAUGUUAGCGGCGGACGGGUGAGUAACACGUGGAUAACCUACCUAUAAGACUGGGAUAACUUCGGGAAACCGUAGCUAAUACCGGAUAAUAUAUUGAACCGCAUGGUUCAAUAGUGAAAGACGGUCUUGCUGUCACUUAUAGAUGGAUCCGCGCUGCAUUAGCUAGUUGGUAAGGUAACGGCUUACCAAGGCAACGAUGCGUAGCCGACCUGAGAGGGUGAUCGGCCACACUGGAACUGAGACACGGUCCAGACUCCUACGGGAGGCAGCAGUAGGGAAUCUUCCGCAAUGGGCGAAAGCCUGACGGAGCAACGCCGCGUGAGUGAUGAAGGUCUUCGGAUCGUAAAACUCUGUUAUUAGGGAAGAACAAAUGUGUAAGUAACUAUGCACGUCUUGACGGUACCUAAUCAGAAAGCCACGGCUAACUACGUG